UACGGGGGGGGGCAAGCGUUGUUCGGAAUUACUGGGCGUAAAGGGCUCGUAGGCGGCCAACUAAGUCAGACGUGAAAUCCCCAGGCUUAACCUGGGAACUGCGUCUGAUACUGGAUGGCUUGAAUUCGGGAGAGGGAUGCAGAAUUCCAGGUGUAGCGGUGAAAUGCGUAGAUAUCUGGAGGAAUACCGGUGGCGAAGGCGGCAUCCUGGACCGACAUUGACGCUGAUGAGCGAAAGCUAGGGGAGCAAACGGG
rnacentral:rRNA from 1 species